UUGGGUUGUAGAAAGCCUACUUCAACACAACAAAUAUUAGGUUAAUCUCAAUCUCAUCUUCCUAGUUCAGCCGCUGCAGCCACCAGAUGUAACACUCAUUUUGUUACUCACAUUCAACCACUUCAUCUUUCUUGUUCGGCUGAGUUAUUUCUCUCUUCUCCCUUCCUUGUUAGUUUUAAAGUUUUUUGAGAGGUAGCAUAAUAUAAUCGUAGGGGUAACGUAACACAUAGAAGGUAAAAAGAAAAUCAAAUUGGCCGGAAAAGUUAAGGGGUAUCGGAGACUACCCCUCCCAUCACACUAGAUCCGCCUCUGAAUAUGGAAACAUAUAGAUCUAUCUAAAGGUAUACUACAACAUAUAAUAUGGAAAAAGUAUAUGUGCAAACUUAGCAUCACGACAAAGAAACAAGCAAUGAUGAACUGAAUGUGCAGAAUCAAGUAGGAAGAAGAAGAAGAAGAAUUAUCCAGCAGCUAUAGCGAAACUUAAAACAAAUUUUAAUUAAAUAAGUAAAAUACCUUAUAUAGCUUAGAUGCGAUCUUUCUUCAAAAUCUCUGAUGAUAACACUGAGUUUUAAUUAACGAGAUGAGUAAAAGGAUAGAUAGAAGGGGGGUUUUAUAAAUGUAAUGUUAUUAUAGCCGACAGCAUUUCCCAUAUUUCCUUUUCAUUCAUACUUUUUUCUUUUCAGUGUAACUUUAUGAUGGGAUACCCACUACUACAAAAUCUUUAAUAAUAUUAUAUAAAAAGUCGAGCAGGUGACUGAAGAUGCUUUUUAUGGAAAGCUAGAAAUGAGAUGAUUUUUGAGGGUCGCUUCAUCCCGGUAGGCAAUAUAGUCGAGCAGUUAUGUUGUAAUCUGGUGUCGUGAUUUGCUUCGGCUCUGCGUCUUUUUGCUGUUUUUUCUUUCCGUUUUCUUUUCCUGUUGUUUGUUUCUCAGCCUCUGGCUGGCUCUUUAUAUAUAUAUAUAUAAAGUGUGUUUGCUGUUAAAAAAAAAAAAAAAAAUAUUAUAUAAAAAGUGGCUUC
rnacentral:lncRNA from 1 species